GCCGAUGUGGCGGAAUUGGCAGACGCACCGCACUCAAAAUGCGGCGAGAAAUCGUACCGGUUCGAGUCCGGUCAUCGGCACCA
rnacentral:tRNA from 1 species